rnacentral:rRNA from 1 species
UGGGGAAUAUUGCACAAUGGGCGCAAGCCUGAUGCAGCCAUGCCGCGUGUGUGAAGAAGGCCUUCGGGUUGUAAAGCACUUUCAGCGGGGAGGAAGGCGGUGAGGUUAAUAACCUCAUCGAUUGACGUUACCCGCAGAAGAAGCACCGGCUAACUCCGUGCCAGCAGCCGCGGUAAUACGGAGGGUGCAAGCGUUAAUCGGAAUUACUGGGCGUAAAGCGCACGCAGGCGGUCUGUCAAGUCGGAUGUGAACUCCCCGGGCUCAACCUGGGAACUGCAUUCGAAACUGGCAGGCUAGAGUCUUGUAGAGGGGGGUAGAAUUCCAGGUGUAGCGGUGAAAUGCGUAGAGAUCUGGAGGAAUACCGGUGGCGAAGGCGGCCCCCUGGACAAAGACUGACGCUCAGGUGCGAAAGCGUGGGGAGCAAACAGG